rnacentral:tRNA from 1 species
GGGGAGUUGGCUCAGUGGUAGAGUGCUUGCCUCGCAUGCAUGAGGCCUUGGGUUCGAUUCCUCAGUACCACA